rnacentral:rRNA from 1 species
UACGUAGGGGGCAAGCGUUGUCCGGAAUCACUGGGCGUAAAGCGCACGUAGGCGGAUGUGUCAGUCAGGGGGUGAAAUCCCCGGAGCUCAACUUCGGAACUGCCUUUGAUACAGCACGUCUUGAGUCCGAUAGAGGUGGGUGGAAUUCCUAGUGUAGAGGUGAAAUUCGUAGAUAUUUAGGAAGAACACCGGUGGCGAAGGCGGCGACCUGGGACAAUACUGACGCUGAGGU